UGUGUUUUCUCACAGUGGCCCCCACAACGAAGGCAGGUCUGGGGAAUCAGAACCCUCUGACAACCAGUUUUCUAGAGCUCGGAGUGCGUUUUGCAACACAAGGUCAAGAGAAAGCACUGAGUUGUUUUGUUCUCCAGAAACUCUUUCGCUAAAUCAACCAGACUGAAAAAUAGCAAGGGCCAUUUCCAGCAAAAAUAACCAGCCACGGUAAUGAUCCCAUCUCCAAUCCCCUUAUGUACUGUUGUCUGUGCAGAACUGCACUAGGAGCGUAGUGAAGGAGAAGAGACAUGUUUUUCUAAAAAAGUGGAAGUUUGACCUUUUUCUUGCCCAGCCCCCACAUAACAGUAUCUGUCUCUCCUGAGCCCGUUAGGAGAUUUAGUUUAUCAUCUUGCCUGUCCUAAAAUGUGUGGACAGGGAGGUUUCCAGGGGGGCAAUCUCUUGACAGCUGUUUUCUGCUGUCAGCCAAACAAUUAAGCAAAACACCACAGCCCUAUAAUUACAUGUAAGGCGUUUCUCACGUACCACAUAAGUCUGGCAGCUGCUAACAAAGGUCUGGGUGCGCACGGGACUGCUCCAUCUGGAGAUGGCUGUGUAGGCAGCCCAUUUCAUGAUCCAUGCAAACAGAGAGACAGAGCAUACCGUACAUUGCCGCUGCAGCAGAUGUGUCCUGACAGAGGCUUCUCUGGAGCAGCCUGCGUUUAAAUGGGGAGAAGAAGAGCUAAGGCUCAGUCGUUUAUUGAGCAGCCUUUGCUCCGCCGAUGCUGGAAAGUCAUUCUCAAGGCAGUGACACCCGCCGACCCGAAGCACCAGGGGAGGAGAGCAGACCUCAGUGUGAAGUGGCCCAUGCUCAGUGUGUGUUUGUACUGACACAAAACCCUGGUGAGCGGUGGCCUGGGCUGCACUUGGACGUGCUCCGUGUGUUGAUGCUGCAUCAGCAUGUGGCUCUGUUGCUACAAACACCCCUCUUGUGCCAAAACACCCGCAGAUCAGUGCCGCCUGGGGUCUCCUCCUGACCUUGGGUGGUGUGAUACAAGACCUUCAACCCCAGACAGGUUCAGAUGCAUGUUAUGAAAUGAAGUUAUGCAGGAAGCCAAGGACUUUGUCUGGGAAGGGUUGAGUGCUGUUCCUCCAGCGGCACAUCCUGGGUGUGGGAGAUGUUGAUCUGCACCACCACCGACCCAGCAAAUGUCACUGAUGCAGCGGGUGAGGAUGCCAAACCAGGUUCAGGCAAAACUGAGACUUCUUGUCUCCUGAGCCGGGUUUCAUCCCACGUGAUUGUAGAGAUGUCACAACAUGGAUGUAGAAUGACUAAACCUUUAGGGGACCUGGGGAGGUCAUCUGAUCCAACUCCCUACUCAAAGCAGGGCUAAUUUUGAUGUUAGAGCAGGUCACUCAGGGCCAUGUCCAGGUGAACUUUGGAAACCUCCAAGGAUGAAGAUCCCACAGCCCCUCUGGGCAACCUCUUCUAGUUUGUUUGUUUGUUUGUUUUGGGUUUUUGUUUGUUCGUUGUUGUUGUUGUUUUGAGGUUUUUUUGUUUGUUUUUUUCCCCUAAUACUAAAUCAGAGCUUUCUCUGAUGCAACUUUUGUCUGGUUUCUACAACAGAGUCAUCCUUGAUUCCUUUAUGAUCUUUGUAGAGAACCAAAUUUCAGGUCUCUGAAGUUUUCCAGCUCUUUUAUGGAGAGAUAAAUUUCAAGUUUCAAAUGAGUGCCCGUAUUUCCCAGCUGGUGAGACAGGCUCCCCUUGUGCAUGCUGCUGCCCUUCCACUACCACUCAUUCUGGGCCACAGGUGCCUCCUCCAUCUUUCAUGCCCUUUGGAGACAACUAAUCCUUCCUUAGCUGUGGAUGUCCACCUAGCAAUCUAAAAUGGCAUUUCUUGACAAAGCCAGAGCAGAUCCACUUUUAGGGGUAGGAAGAGGAGCUGGUUGCCUUCACCUUUUUCACCUGCAUCUCCCAUGUUUGGGGACUACAGGUCAUGUAGUCAUGCCCAGCUUCUCUUCGGUGCCCUGGCACUUGUAGAUGACUACGGAAGAGCCCUUCUGCUCUUCAGCAUGCAAAUUAAGACAGAAAAGACAAUGUGCAUUUCCCCCCUCCCACAACCCCAGCAUGUAGCUUCAAUAUUUGCGUUAUUAGAAAGCUGGGGGCUCUCCGUGGAGGCAUCCUGCAUCCUGGGAUAAAAGGCAAAUGUGUACAGGGAUUGGGGGGGGAGUGGCAUGUUUGUGAAACAUGGAUGUAAUAAUCCUUGAGCAAUUCAUUUAUUUAGGAAUGACAAAAAAAGCCAGCAGGUGAUUCUUUUGUUCUCUGACAGGGACAAUAUUUUUUUUGUAUAUAAAAAAGGCUUUCAAGAAAAGCUUUUCAAGUUGACGCUAUCAGAAUUUUUUCAACAGAGUAUUUUUGACAGAAGAUACCAAUUUGCUGAAAUGAAAAAUAUUGCAAAAAAAUACGAAAAAUGCUACAAAAAGGUCACAGUUUUGUAGAGAAAAAAUAUAAAAGGAAUGCUUUCAAUUCAUAAAUUUUUCAUUAAAAAAUUUUGCAAUUUCA